rnacentral:lncRNA from 1 species
CUCCCUGUCCUUAUCAGCAAAGACCUUAUGUGAGCAGACCCUCUGCUUAUCAAAAUCCAGCCCACCUUCUGACAUCUGCCUUCACGCUGCCUCCUGUGACUGCGCAGGCCAAAGUGGCCCCUUCCGUUCUGUAGGCAACUACAGGAUGCCUAACGUACAUCAUAUCCAGGUGUUAUUAACUCCACAGGUGGUACUAGUGUCUUCAGUCUGGUAAAGUUAAUUACAUUUUUAUAAAAACAUCUUACAUCCUGGGGGCACCUGGGUGGCUCAGCUGGUUGGGCGUCCAACUUCAGCUCAGGUCAUGAACUCACAGUUUGGCAGCUUGAGCCCUGCAUCGGGCUCUGGUGGUGCGGGGCCUGCUUGGGAUUCUCUCUCCCUCUCUUUGCCCCUUCCCCACCUGCACAUACUCUCUCUCUCUCCUCUCUCUCUCUCUCAAAAUAAAUAAAUAAACUUAAAAAAAAAAAAACAUCGCAUCCUAAGAUUAUAAAUUGGUGAAAAGCAAGAACUGAUAGUACCCAGCACAUGUAUGAAAUUCAUAAAACGGACUCGCUGAUGAAUGUGUUAAGCGAAAAGAAUCCAUCACAAAUAGAAGAACACUCCUCUCAUGUACACCAAACGCCUGUACUCUCAUUCAUCUUCAGAAAGAGUAUUUCCAGCCUUAAAACGAAGUGAAAGUAGUUUCCACCUACUUCCCUCUAAAAUUAUCCCCGACCAGUAUAAAGAAUGAGAAACAAAACACAAACUCCAUUUUCCAGGAAACUACGAGAUAUCUGCAAACCUGAACCAAAAUAAGAGCUCAGAAGCUGGAUGAAGGCAUUUUAAAUGGUUUAGCUCUGGAAGCAGCCAGCAUGCACAGGGGGGACUGGGAUGAGGUGCUGAGAGGAAAACAGUGUGGGAUAGACAAGUAGCCAUUCUGUGCAACUUUUUCCACCAAAUCAGCCCCCAAACCUUGGCUAGCCUUACAACUUAUUUUGAAGAACACAACGUGACAGAAGUGAUGAGACUCAGUUCCACACUUACACCUCUGGAGAGAGACUGCAGCCCCCACGCUCACCCCCGCUGAAUGCAGGAAAGAGCCCAGCCCAGCCCUACCGGAAGACAGAAGACUACACAGAACAAGGAGGAGGGUAGAGCCAUUCAGUCCGGCUGAGGCUCCCCAGGCCAGCCAGUCUGCCAACUGUCAGACCCGUGUCAGGGGCCAUCCUAAUCAACCUCCCCACAGAACGGUGACAAAUUAGAAAUCAUCACUGUUUUAAAACACUCAGUGUGGGAGUAAUUUGCCUUUAACAAAGGUUAAAAGACAUUCGGGAUGAGGUGAAGCUCUGGAAAAGGAAGGGGGUGGGGCUCCCCCUGCAACUUCACUUCCUCUUCCUCGGAUGAGAAAGUUAGGACAAGAAACUGCAUCUGUGAAACAAGAACAAGAUGCUAUUAAAAAGAGCUCUUGGAAAUUAUAAUUCAUAUUUACAUAACAGAAAAUCUUAAACUCAGUAAAAAUACUGGAAUAUAAAGUCCAAGAAAUCUUCCAGAAGGCAAGAUAAAGAGAUAAACAAUAGGCUCAAUGUGUAUAUAAUAGAACAAAAAAAAGGGAUCAAUUUUAAGAGAUCCAAUAUCUGACUAACAGUUGCACAGGUUUUUUUUUUCCCCCUUAAAUGAAAGAAAAAAUCUUCAGAGAAAUAAAUUAGAAGAAAAUUCCCCCAAACUAAAGACUGUAAGUUUACACAGUCAAAUGUUUCACAACGAAUUGGGGGGGUGGGGGUUGGGGGGGGGGGACAAGUGACGGUGAAACUUCAGAACACUAGGGAUAAAGAAGAAAUCUUAAAACCUUCAGGGGAUAGAAGGGGAGAACAAAGGGACAGGAAUAAGACUACUAUUUGACUUCUCAACAGUGACACUGGAAGACAGGAGACAGUGAAGAAAUGCCUUCAAAAUCCUAAGGGGAGAAUAUUUAUAACUUGGAAGACUUAUACCCAGUCAGACAGCAAUCAAGUAUGAAGAUAGAAUCAAGAUUUUAUCAGACUUUCAAAGUCAGAAAAUACCUAUUCCCGUGCUUCCUUUCUCAGAAAGCUCCUGGGGAUGUUCCUUAACAAACUGGGGGAAUAAACCAAGAAAAAAGAAAACACGGGAUCUAGGAAACAGAAGAUUAAAAAAAAAGUAAAAAGAAAGAAAAGCAAUUAAAGAAUUCCUGGAAGGGCAGCUAUGUAGUACAGCCAGUAAUGAGUGCACCAGGACAGACAGGAGCAGGGAGACGAAAGGCUCCGUGAAGGAGAUUUCUGCAAAAAGAAAUUUAUAAAAUGUAUGAUACGUAUGUGCAAAUGUUUCUGAAAACUUUGUGAGACCUGCUGGAAAGUGAGAACAACCAGCCAUUGUUUCCAAAAAGAUGAAGCCAAUGAAACUGUGAAGCAACUAUUAACUUGAAGAAAAACAAAAGAUGUCUUAGAAUAUACUGUACUCUACACAGGAAAUGCACCUACACUACUUACUCAACACUAAAUAUUUACAUAAUCUUAACAGUAAAAACAUUAAGGAUUUAACCAAGAAUUGUAAUAGAUUAUCCUGAUAGAAAGCGGAAGAUUUAAGAAAGCAGAGUCAUCCACCUCAAAAGUAAGCCAACAGACAGUAUCCAAAAUUGGACAUGAAGAUAGCAGUUUCUAAAUGAUGAUGGGAAAAACCUGAGAAUCAGUUACAGUUGAAACGUGCUCGUCUCUGGGAACCGAAACAGCAGGCAUUGAUGGGAAGAAGGCAGGUGGGGCUACAUCGUUUCUACUACAGGCUUUGUUAGCACACUUUUUUUGAAAUUUAUUUUUGUUUGUUAAGUUUGUUUAUUUAUUUUGAGAGAAAGACCAUGCACAGGAGGGCAGAGAGAGUGGGGGGGAAAGGGAGAGAAUCCCAAGCAGGCUCUGCACUGUCAUAGGCGCCCCAUUUUUUAGCAUGCUUUUAAAGUUACAAAUGUGUUACACAUCAUGUAUCUCACUUUUAUAGAAAUUCAGUAAUUUAGGGCGCCUGGGUGGCUCAAUGGGGUAAGCGGCUGAUCUUGAUUUUGGCUCAGGUCAUGAUCUCACAGCUGUGAGAUCAAGCCCCACGUUGGGCUCCAUGCUGCUGGUGUGGAGCCUACUUGGGAUUUACUCCCUCUUUCUGUCUCUGUCUCUGUCUCUGUCUCUCUCUCUCUCCCCCUCUCUUUGCUCCUCCCCACCUCACACAUCUAUGUGCAUGCACUCUCUCUCAAAAUAAAUAAAUAAAAACCUUUUUAAAAAAUUCAAUAAUUUUACAUGAAUGGACAGGUUUCUCCCUGAUACUGACCAACCCCCAUCACUUAAGUGAUGGCCGAACUAUCCCUACAUCCUUGAACAGUCAUCCACAGCACUAAGUUCCCCCCACUCCACCACCAGGGUGAUGUCUCAGCUUUCAAUAACCCUCCACUUUCCUUUUGCUGCCAUCAAGAAAGACUCACCUUCCAUAAACUUCAAGAUUGUUUCAACUAAUCUAAAAACGCGUUGGUCCUCUCUGACCCCCACUUUCCCUUACCCCAUCGUGUUUACAAGGAUCAAACCGAAUACACAACGUGCUGGGCACAUUAACAAAGGUUUGAAAGGCAACUGUCUUACACCAAGUGACAUAAUUAUGCAAUUCCUACUCUCAAUUCCCUCCCAGUUACAGAAAACUAUACACCAGGAAUCCUCUGUUCAAAAUCACAGCAGAACCAAACACAAAUUACCCCCCGGGACAACAAUACUUGGUACGGUGACGUCGGAGUAAAGGAAGAAAACCAGCCCCACUGCCACCACCUCAAUGGGCAAAGCUGAAAUACUCAAGCAUUACCUAGCACCUGACUAAGACGAAAAGCAGCAACAGUUAAAAUUAAGCCAGAACAGAGCCAUCCCAUCGUGUUAGCUUUUCAGCUUGUAACAAACCGAAAGCAGGCAAGGUGAAUGAACACCUGUACCUUGAAGAUGACACGGAACAUCAUAUUCGAUCUCAUCGUGUCUCGACGGGCUCAAGAACAGAGUUCCGUCCACCAGCGGGAACUGUUCGAACACCGGGAGCGCCCGGUGGCACAGAGCACAGUUCACGACAUUCCUGUGGCUGGCGCUGAGGGCCGCGAGAAUGAACUUGCGCAGAUCCUCGCCCUGGCCCAUCUGGGCAUCGUCUUCCAUCCGCACGUGGAAAGUGUUCAACUUAUGCCGGGGGAUGUGAGUGAGCAGUUCGGACAAGUCCAGCCGCCGCAGGAACUGCACGGGCGCGUCGAAGUGGCCCCCCCUGUGCACGGAUAACCCAGCCGGACUAUACUCGAAGUGGGUGUUUCGGAACACGUGGCCCCCGGCCAUGGCCUUCUUGUGAGGCUCCAGAUGGAUGGCAUUCUUCAAGAAUUCCCCGAGGUACCUGGAGGAGCGGGGGCCGCUGAAGUGGGCAGGGGAGAGGAUGGAGUAGCCGGUGGGCGGGGACUGGCCAGGGGAGCCGCAGGGAGAGCGGGCCCCGUAGGCUGCGGCGCCGACUGCCUUCUCCUGGGAGUUCUGCCGGUCCAUGGAGUGCCGCCGCGGGAGGUCAUGGCUCAGGCCUUUCUGGGGCUUGUUCGGCGGCCUGCACUUUUUUGCUUCCUCCCCUGCUUCGCCGGGGGGCCUCCCCGUGUUCUUCUCCGACACGGACUUCUUCUUUUUCUCAUCCUGCAUCCGCUUCACCUGGUACCAGUCUGUGUCCUUCUUUAAGUGGCCCUGCCCGCAGCGGCAGGAGCAGAAGCGGAAGGCCAGGUCGUAGCCCUUCUUUGUCCACAUGUUUUGGCGGCACUGCUUCUCGUUCCAGCUGCGGGCCCGGCCGAUGCAGUUGAACUGGACGAGGAUGCUGCUCUCCCACUCGUAGAAACACUGCAGGUGCAUCCAGGUGCUGGAGGGGCAGUGCUCGUUGUUGCACACCACCUUCUGGUAGUCGUCCUUGUCCAGGUCCACCGGCCUGCCAAAGCUGCAGAUCAGGGGCGUGGCACAAGGGGCUUCUGGGAAGAAACAGAGACAGAGAGAGAGAGGAGGGGAGAGAGAGAGAGAGGUUCAGCACGCAGGAGCUGGAAUCCCAGCUGGCACCUGGUCAGAGAGCAAAGCUACCAUCCCCACCUUAGCCCAUUCAUGCCAACAGUGCAAUUUUCUGGUGUCAAGAUUUCCUCUGCUGGAAUAACACCAGACAGGAUUAGACAACACGUACUACUCUCUUCUGGUGUUUUGCUGGGCCGAGGGAAUUUAUUUUCAGAUGUUUGUUAUCUGCUGAAAAACACACCAGUAAGCUUCAGAAAGUCCAAAUCCUUCACAGUGCAAUUAGCCGUAUGUCAAUACUUACAACGGUAUAGUGUAGUACGAGGUUUUCCUAAGAUGUGAGUGUAAUGACAGGCAGUUCCAAGGUUCUUUUAAAAAAGGAAUCACUCUAAUGAACUAGGAAAUCAUAUGAUGAAGCCACUUAGCCAACUAGUUCAGGUGAUAGCUCCUAAAGGGCCCGCAAAGCCCUUUUUCACAAACUUUAGGUUAUCCUGAAUAUC